GACGUAGGGCGCGAGCGUUGUCCGGAUUUACUGGGCGUAAAGAGCGCGCAGGCGGUCGUUCAAGUCGCGUGUGAAAGCCCCCCGGCUCAACUGGGGAGGGUCACGCGAUACUGAUCGACUCGAAGGCAGGAGAGGGUAGUGGAAUUCCCCGGUGUAGUGGUGAAAUGCGUAGAUAUCGGGAGGAACACCAGUGGCGAAGGCGGGUCUCUGGACAGUUCCUGACACUGAGACACGAAGGCCAGGGGAGCAAACGGG
rnacentral:rRNA from 1 species